rnacentral:rRNA from 1 species
GACGAACGCUGGCGGCGUGCUUAACACAUGCAAGUCGAACGGAAAGGCCCUGCUUUUGUGGGGUGCUCGAGUGGCGAACGGGUGAGUAACACGUGAGUAACCUGCCCUUGACUUUGGGAUAACUUCAGGAAACUGGGGCUAAUACCGGAUAGGAGCUCCUGCUGCAUGGUGGGGGUUGGAAAGUUUCGGCGGUUGGGGAUGGACUCGCGGCUUAUCAGCUUGUUGGUGGGGUAGUGGCUUACCAAGGCUUUGACGGGUAGCCGGCCUGAGAGGGUGACCGGCCACAUUGGGACUGAGAUACGGCCCAGACUCCUACGGGAGGAAGCAGGGGGGAAUAUUGCACAAGGGGCGGAGGCCUGAUGCAGCAACGCCGCGGGCGGGAGGACGGCCUUCGGGUGGUAAACCGCUUUCGCCGGGGACGAGGCGGGAGUGACGGUAAUGGGUAAAGAAGCACCGGCAAACUACGU